rnacentral:misc_RNA from 1 species
UCUUUCAAGUUUCUCUAGAAGGGUCUCGCUUC